rnacentral:rRNA from 1 species
UACGUAGGGUGCGAGCGUUGUCCGGAAUUAUUGGGCGUAAAGAGCUUGUAGGCGGUCUGUCGCGUCUGCUGUGAAAAUCCGGGGCUCAACCCCGGACUUGCAGUGGGUACGGGCAGACUAGAGUGUGGUAGGGGAGACUGGAAUUCCUGGUGUAGCGGUGAAAUGCGCAGAUAUCAGGAGGAACACCGAUGGCGAAGGCAGGUCUCUGGGCACUACUGACGCUGGAGAAAGCGAAAGCACGGGGAGCGAACAGG